CUUUACUCAGAGCUACAGUACACAGGCUACAUCUGUCCUUAGUGGAUCUGGCUGCCUUCCUUACCUUCUUAAAUAUAACCUUCAAGUUAUUGAGCCGAUAUAUUUGCUUGCAGCAGUACAGGUAUUGGGUUCUGCUUAUCGCUCCUGACAUGGAAAAGAAGAAAUGUAAUCUUAAGUGAAAUGUUCAGACUUCUCGUGAAUAGCUGCUUGUGCUGAAAUUCAUGCCAGGCAGUAGAAGAAGAUAUCCAUCUGCGGAACCCAUCUUCCAUGGAAGCUAUUAUUGUCUCAUUUUGAGUAUUUAGGAAGUUUCACGCGGAAAAAAAAAUAAAAAAAUAAGGGCAAUUCCAGCUCCUCAGAAGACAAUGAAGAGAUUCCUUAUUUUAAUGGAUGUUAAAACUCUGGGAGAGGUUGCCAUAGUAUGAGAUAAAGGAUUGCAGAGCAGAACAGCAGACCCACACUGGCACAGGAAGUACCCACAAUUCUUUAGGUUACUCACUGCAGCAGCACAAGGCAGGUACUUACCCUUUGUGUGCCUCAGAUUUUUUUCUUGCUUUAUUUUUAAUUUAGUUUUAAGUCACACUAUGCUGCUAAAACAUGGGACUUGAGCCUAGGAAGUCCUGGG